CCUACGGGAGACUGCAGUGAGGAAUAUUGGUCAAUGGACGAGAGUCUGAAGCAGCCAAGUAGCGUGAAGGAUGACUGCUCUAUGGGUUGUAAACUUCUUUUAUAUGGGAAUAAAAUGUUCCACGUGUGGGAUAUUGUAUGUACCAUAUGAAUAAGGAUCGGCUAACUCCGUGCCAGCAGCCGCGGUAAUACGGAGGAUCCGAGUGUUAUCCGGAUUUAUUGGGUUUAAAGGGAGCGUAGGUGGAUUGUUAAGUCAGUUGUGAAAGUUUACGGCUCAACCGUAGAAUUGCAGUUGAAACUGGCAGUCUGGAGUACAGUAGAGGUAAGCGGAAUUCGUGGUGUAGCGGUGAAAUGCUUAGAUAUCACGAAGAACUCCGAUUGCGAAGGCAGCUCACUGGACUGCAACUGACACUGAGGCUCGAAGGUGUGGGUAUCAAACAGGAUUAGAUACCCUAGUAGUC
rnacentral:rRNA from 1 species